GUAGGUAACGGCUCACCAAGGCUACGAUCGAUAGGGGGUCUGAGAGGAUGAUCCCCCACACUGGUACUGAGAUACGGACCAGACUCCUACGGGAGGCAGCAGUAGGGAAUAUUGGUCAAUGGGCGCAAGCCUGAACCAGCCAUGCCGCGUGCAGGAAGAAGGCCCUCUGGGUUGUAAACUGCUUUUGAUAGGGAACAAAUGCCACUUGCGAGUGGAGCUGAGUGUACCUAUAGAAUAAGCACCGGCUAACUCCGUG
rnacentral:rRNA from 1 species